rnacentral:rRNA from 1 species
GACGAACGCUGGCGGCGUGCUUAACACAUGCAAGUCGAGCGAUGAAGUUCCUUCGGGAACGGAUUAGCGGCGGACGGGUGAGUAACACGUGGGUAACCUGCCUCAUAGAGGGGAAUAGCCUUCCGAAGGGAAGAUUAAUACCGCAUAAGAUUGUAGUAUCGCAUGAUACAGCAAUUAAAGGAGCAAUCCGCUAUGAGAUGGACCCGCGUCGCAUUAGCUAGUUGGUGAGGUAACGGCUCACCAAGGCGACGAUGCGUAGCCGACCUGAGAGGGUGAUCGGCCACAUUGGGACUGAGACACGGCCCAGACUCCUACGGGAGGCAGCAGUGGGGAAUAUUGCACAAUGGGGGAAACCCUGAUGCAGCAACGCCGCGUGAGUGAUGAAGGUCUUCGGAUUGUAAAACUCUGUCUUCAGGGACGAUAAUGACGGUACCUGAGGAGGAAGCCACGGCUAACUACGUGCCAGCCGCCGCCGUAA